rnacentral:rRNA from 1 species
UACGGAGGGUGCAAGCGUUGCUCGGAAUUAUUGGGCGUAAAGGGUAGGUAGGUGGUCUCAUUUGUCUGGGGUGAAAUCCUUGGGCUUAACUCAAGAAGUGCCCCAGAAACGGUGAGACUAGAGUCCUGGAGAGGGUCGUGGAAUUCCCGGUGUAGCGGUGAAAUGCGUAGAGAUCGGGAGGAACACCAGAGGCGAAGGCGGCCAGCUGGGCCGUUGCUGACGCUGAUGCGCGAAAGCGUGGGGAGCAAACAGG